rfam:Schistosoma rodhaini strain Burundi genome assembly, scaffold: SROB_scaffold0016096
AAGUUCCUAAAUCAGUGCCGAGAUUUCGUCAUGUACCAGGACAUUAGGACUGAUGAAACUUCCAAGGUAAGUGAGUCG